AGGCAGAAUAGGCAAUUCACACAACAUACGCUAAAUAAUCUUAAAGCCAAAAAUGAUUCUAAAAGUUCAAUAUUUACUGAUAAAAAACUGAAAAUUGAGUAACAAACUGAUAUCUGAAAACUGAGUUCUUCUAAAAAAAACUUUUCUAAAAACUUUGCAUGUAGUGGCCCUACGUGCGUGAACAUUUGGGAACAUGCACGGGGAGUGUCGGCCUAUCUCCCCAACAUACAAUUUGGCCUUACGUACGUGAGCAUCUGGGAACACACACAGGGAGUUUCGGCGUAUCUUCCCAACAAAUAAUUUUGCACCUGCAAGCAUGGGGUAGCUAACCCUGGCCACUGUGACACUCGUGCUCGGAGAGGUUGGCUACUUCUCCCUUUCUGAAUGUGAUCACAUUUUAUCUGAAAAUGAACUUAAGAGUCGAGCAAAAUAAGAUGUUGCAAAUAAGCAAAUAACUGCACAUAUAAGCAGUGUAAUUGCACAUAAACAAAUAAUUUCAACAUGUCAUACAAUCUAAUCAUUUUCUAUUAUAGUGAUUUUAAACAAACAUAUAUGUUAUUUAUUCUGAAACGUAAUGCAAGAAAUCACAUAGUUUAAUAUGCGUCUUCUAAUCUAGCCCUUGACCUCGGGAAAAAACCUCAACAUACCUCGAAUUGGAUCUAUAACUGACUUUAUCCUCCCUGCACGUUAGCUUCAAAUUUCCAAAUCAUAGUCUAAUCUCGUUGUCUAGACUGAAAUAUCUCGUGAUAAAUCUCACGUAUUAAUAUUGACGUCUUAAAGUAGACUUAAUUUUUCCUUCCUCUGAAUUAGGCGAUGUGCAACGCCCCUUUUUCCCGAAAAGAAUCACUAAUGAUCAUGGUUUAUUCGAGUAGCAGUUUCUUCUCUCCCUUAGUGCCACCGUUAGAAUCUUCCAAAAGCCCUUAGCAUUAUUUUGUUUCUUUCUCAAUGACCUAGAUUCAAU
rnacentral:lncRNA from 1 species